GCCUAAUUGGUCUAGUCGCAUGAUACCUCAUUCGGGCGAGAGCCAGCUCGUUUACGAGUCAAGCAUUGAGGUGGUCCUCGGUUCAAUUCCGGGAUUGGGCC